rnacentral:rRNA from 1 species
GAACGGGUGAGUAACGCGUGAGGAACCUGCCUCAAAGAGGGGGACGAACAGUUGGAAACGACUGCUAAUACCGCAUAAGCCCACGGCUCGGCAUCGAGCAGAGGGAAAAGGAGUGAUCCGCUUUGAGAUGGCCUCGCGUCCGAUUAGCUAGUUGGUGAGGUAAUGGCCCACCAAGGCAACGAUCGGUAGCCGGACUGAGAGGUUGAACGGCCACAUUGGGACUGAGACACGGCCCAGACUCCUACGGGAGGCAGCAUG